UAGUCAUAUGCUUGUCUCAAAGAUUAAGCCAUGCAUGUCUAAGUAUAAACAUCUUUAUACUGUGAAACUGCAGAUGGCUCAUUAAAUCAGUUACAAUUUAUUUGAUGAUUGACUUACUACAUGGAUACCCGUAGUAAUUCUAGAGCUAAUACAUGCGUAAAGUCCCGACUCUCGCGGGAAGGGAUGUGUUUAUUAGAUAAAAAACCAAUGCGGCUUCACGGCCGGUUUUGAGGUGAUUCAUAGUAACUGUUCGAAGCGCAUGGCCUCGCGCCGGCG
rnacentral:rRNA from 1 species